GGGCAGGGGAGGCCGGGGCCGGGCGCAGGCAGCGUCCAGCCGAGGGGCUGAGCCCGCGCCAACCCUUCCUUCCCUCCUGCUGCUCUCUCCAGCUGGUAGAGGACAGGAGCCAAGUUACGAAACGCAUGCACUGGGCACUGCGGUUCCUGGAUAGCCCACAGGAGCCCUUGCGAGAGGCAGCCAUCAGGAUCAUCGGCAUGGCUGGGCGGUGCCAGAGGGAGAAGAGGGACGAGCUCCAGGCCCACAGUCAGGCCAAUUAAGUCUCAAGGGAAGACAGAAGUCCAUCCCACUUAAACCUGAAUAUUCAUGCCAAAUUUACCAGAAGAGCUGAAGAAUUAGA